GUACGGAAGGCGCAGCAGUAGGGAAUGUUGCAUAAUGGGCGAAAGCCUGAUGCAGCAACGCCGCGUGUGCGAUGAAGGCCUUCGGGUUGUAAAGCACUUUUCGCAGGGAAGAGGAAGGACGGUACCUGCGGAAUAAGCGUCGGCUAACUACGUGCCAGCAGCCGCGGUAAAACGUAGGAGGCGAGCGUUAUCCGGAUUUACUGGGUGUAAAGCGCGUGCAGGCGGUUGGCUAAGUUGGGUGUGAAAGCUCCUGGCUCAACUGGGAGAGGUCGCUCAAGACUGGCCGACUGGAGAGCAGUAGGGGAAGGUGGAAUUCCGGGUGUAGUGGUGAAAUGCGUAGAUAUCCGGAGGAACACCAGUGGCGAAAGCGGCCUUCUGGACUGCAUCUGACGCUCAGACGCGAAAGCUAGGGGAGCAAACGGGAUUAGAUACCCUAGUAGUCG
rnacentral:rRNA from 1 species